rnacentral:lncRNA from 1 species
CUUUCUCUUGCUCUUGUUCUUUUUCUUGCUUUCUUGCUCUCUCUUGCACUCUUGCUCUCUUGCUCUCUGGCUCCUGAAGAUGUAAGCAAUAAAGCUUUGCCGCAGAAGAUUCCGGUUUGUUGCGUUCUUCCUGGCCGGUCGCGUGAACGCGGGUAAGAGUUGGUGCCGAAACGCAGGGAAGGCUGUGACAGGAUCCUGUCUGUGGAAGCUGGAGGAGGCUUGCUCACAACUUUGCAGAGCAUGAAGCCAGGAGAGACGAAGAGAGGCAGUGACGACUCUUCCUUCCCCUUCUUGAUGAGUCCCAGAUCCCAGGUCAUCAGUUGGUGCCCUCGACAUUCAAGGAAGUGUUUUGUCAUGUAACUCCUGCCAUCUUGAAAAAUGGAACAAAGUUGGAAAACUUCAACUACCAGAUUUCCAAACUGGCUGUGAGGUCUGUCUUUCCAGAGGACAUAUACACAGAGCUGAUGUCCUUAGAGGAGAGAGAGGCAGAGGCUGUGUGAAGAUGAAGUAGUGGCCGCAGCAGGGACCACAGGUAUCAUCAGGAGCUGGCAGAUGCCAGAAAGGAUCCUCCCUGGAGCUCUCAGAGGGAGCACAGGGCCCUGCCUGGUUAAUACUUCUGCCUCCAGAACCAGGAGAUGGUACCAUUCUGGUAUUUUUAAGCUGCUGAACCUUUUGAUCUGUUAGAGAAGCUAAGACCUGGAAGAGUGAGGUCAAAGAAGAGGCCCACACAGUGUGACUCUCAGUGUAGAGGACAUAGACUCCCAGAUCUGCUGUCCUCACCCAGCACCAAGGAGCAACCCAGCCUGCAGGACACAGAACACAUG